AAUAUUGGACAAUGGGGGCAACCCUGAUCCAGCAAUGCCGCGUGUGUGAAGAAGGUCUUCGGAUUUUAACGUACUUUAAUGUGGGAGGAAGGGCUUUAGGCUAAUACCCUGAAGUUUUGACGUUACCAACAGAUUAAGAACCGGCUCACUCUGGUCCCGCAGCCGCGGUAAUACAGACGGUGCAAGAGUUAAUCGGAAUUACUGGGCGUAAAGCGGGCGUAGGUGGUUCAGUAAGAUGGGUGUGAAAUCCCCGGGCGUAACAUGGGAACUGCUUUCAUAACUGCUGAGCUAGAGUACGGUAGAGGGUAGUGGAAUUUCCUGUGUAGCGGUGAAAUGCGUAGAUAUAGGAAGGAACACCAGUGGCGAAGGAGACUACCUGGACUGAUACUGACACUGAGGUGCGAAAGCGUGGGGAGCAAACA
rnacentral:rRNA from 1 species